rnacentral:lncRNA from 1 species
AGGGCAGAAGGAUGUAGGCUGCAGUUGAGGGAAUUGUUUGUGCAUUUCUUUCAGAGUGUCUGUGAGUUGGAUACAUGGAGAGCAGCUGCAGCAGAGAGGGGAGAGAUUGAGACAGGGUCUUGCUCCAUCACCCAGGCUGGAGUUCAGUGGCAUAUUCACAGCUCACUGCAGCUUUCACCUUCCAGGUUCAAGUUGUCUUCCCACCUCAGACUCCCAAGUAGCUGGGACCACAGGAGGAAAUCUCUUCACUGCUGGCACUGACAAUGGAAGACUGAGGGUGCCCGGGAUCCUUCACCCCCACAUCCAGUGAGUCCACGGAACCCAGGGUAACUGGGAUGGUAUCUGGUCUCAAAACUUUUCUUUUGAGUUAUUGAUAGCUUUUAACAAUUUAUUUUACUCCUAAGGACAAAAUUUGGGGCAUAUUUGUUUCUCUCGACCUGAUUUCUGCAGAAUUUGGAAACUAUUUGAAUCAAACUUGACUUAUGGAGCCAAUAAAGCCCUUGGAGAAGCUGGCGUCAUAUUUUAUAUACACAGUCCCUGUACAGGGUUUCUGACCUGUGCACUGAAAGCUAAGCUGUGCUUUCAGAAAUCCCUGAGAACUGAAGCUAGACAACUUAAUCUUCAGAAGAAAAUAACAGCAACCUAUUUAUGUACAUAAGCCACUUUCAUACCUGCCUACUGAUAUAUGGACUUCAGAGUAUUGUGGACUAUAUUGAUUUUCCAGAAUUGUUCUUUUGUUUGUUAUUACUUUUCUCCCUUUCUCCCCCUGUUUUUUUUUUCACAACAAAUUGCUUUUAUUUUGGUAUGCAUCCACAUUUCAGCAUUUAGUGGUCCUGAACAGAAAGUGGAAAGACACAGCAAUUCAAUCCCCCCAAUUUUGGGGAUCUGCUGUGCACACUAGGUUCUUUCUUAAUCCCUGCUGAGGAACUUGAGAAGCAGCAGCAGCACCAAAACCAAGGCAUGCACCGGAUUCAAGGUUCUUUUUGUUCCAGUUGUCAGAUUCCAAACUAGACCCCAAUGUAUUGCAAGUAUGACCAAAUAAAAGCCCUGUUUAAAA